ensembl:miRNA
GGCGUGGUGGCGGGCGCCUGUGAUCCCAGCUACUCAGGAGGCUGAGGCAGGAGACUCGCUUGAACCCGGGUGGUGGAGGUUGUAGUGAGC